rnacentral:piRNA from 1 species
UCUGACAAAAAUCUUGAUGUCUCUUGGUC